UGGGUGGGUCUUACAGUCAUAAGUUGGGUCUACCUAGAAAUUUUGUAGGCUUAUUUUGAAGGCUGGUGAGGCCAGGUGACAUUUUAUUACAUUCUUAGGUACAUUUAUAAGGGGAGGUUGUCUGUAGCUUUCAUCAGAAUUUUUUAAGGCUUUUUAUUCAAAGUUUUAAACACAUGCAAAAGCAGAGAGUGUUUAACGAACCCCCAUGUACUCUCUACAAUGGUUUUGCUGGCUGGUCAGGGACUUGGGAAGGCACAAUUAAAAACUGGUCACAAGACAUUCUGGGGAAGAGGUGUGUGGCUGGACCUCUCUAAAUGGCCACAGAAUGUGAAGAUCUGCAUCCCAAUGGUCACUCAAGAGUAGUUGCAGCAGAGAAGGGUUUUCAUAAUCAGAUGAAAUGAUUCAUUCUCUGGGUCAGUUAGCUUCUUUUCCAGGCAUCUCUGUUCUUGCCCAAAGGCCUCAGAGAUCAAAGUGGCCAAGACAGCAGUGACAGAGAUUGUGCAUCAGCUCAACAUCAUGGACUGUCUACUUCCUAAAGCCUAAUCUCCAACAGCAGAGACCGACACUGAGCCCCCCAUGUAGCACUACCCUUUGGGAAAACAAGUGAGCUACCACAACAUGCAAAGGAUAGGAUUUUGAUGUCACUGACAUAGAUACUCUGGAUAUGGAUGUGCUUUUCUUGUCUGCAGUACUUCUUCCAAAACUAUUAUGCAUGUGCUGACAGAAUAUCUUAGUCACCAUGAUGGUAUUACGCCUUGCAUCACUUCUGACCAAGGAACUCAUUUUACAGCAAAUGAGGUACAGCAAUGAGCCCACGUUCAUGGGAAUCAGUGGUCUACCAUAUUAUCCUGAUUACUGUAGCUUUAUAGGAAGUCCUGAAAUCAGGAUUUGAAUGGGAUUGUGUUGAAUCAGGAGAUAAAUUUGGAGAGAACUGACGUCUUCACUACACUGAGGCUUUCAACUCCGAACAUGGCAUAUCCCUUUGUUUAUUUAAGUCUUCUUUACUUUCAUUAGCAAUGUCUUUUUGUGCACAGGUCUUGUGGUCCUGUUUUGUUAAAUUCUUUCCAAAUUAUUAUAUGGUCUGUGAUGCUACUGUGUAAAUCGCAUGUUUUAAAUUUUAGUUUUCUGGUAACUUAUUGUCAAUAUUUAGGAAUACAAUUCAUAUAUUGACUUUGUACUUUUUUAAGGUUUAUUUAUCUAUUUUGAGGGAGGGGAGGGGCAGAGAGAAAGGGAGAGAAUCCCAAGCAGGCUCUGCAUUGUCAGCACAGAGCUCGACAUGGGGCUUCAACCCAUGCACUGUGAGAUCGUGACCUGAGCCGAAACCAAGUUAUACACCCAACCAACCAAGCCACCCAGACACCCUGACUUUGUAUUUUAGAGUUUGUUUGUGAAUUUUCUUAUUUUAGUAAUUUCAUAGUAUGUUUCUUAGGAUUUUUUACAUAUAUACAUACAUUAUUAUGUCUUCUGUAAAUGGUUUUACUUCUUCUAAUCCAUAACUUUCUAAUUUAUUUCUAUUUUGUUUUGUCAUGUGGCACUCUAGUACAAUACUGAAUAGAAUGAUGAGAUAGACAAUUUUGCCUUUUUCUUGAUCUUAUCAUUAACUGUAAUGGUAGCUCUGUGUUUUGUAUUUUUUUCCUUAAGUUCACUGAAAACUAUUAUUGUGAUUUUAAAAACGGCCUAAUGGGUUUGUAAUGAAUUCGGCAUAUCAUUCUGUUGAUAUUUUAGAACUGAUACUGACUUUUGCUAGAGAAUUAAAAAAAAAUUCAAAAGUGAAAAUUGUGUAAUAAACUCCAUCCCUGGCAAAACCUGCCAUGUCACAUGGUCACAACUCACUGUUCUGUACAAAAGUUUGUAUUAAUAAAGCUGUGAUAUAAAAAUCAAA